UCGGGAAUCUUGCACAAUGGGGGAAACCCUGAUGCAGCGACGCCGCGUGGAGGAUGAAGGAUCUAGGUCUGUAAACUCCUUUUAUCGGGAAAGACUUAGGACGGUACCCGAUGAAUAAGCACCGGCUAACUACGUGCCAGCAGCCGCGGUAAGACGUAGGGUGCGAGCGUUGUCCGGAUUUACUGGGCGUAAAGGACGCGUAGGCGGCCUGUUAAGUGUGAAGUGAAAUCUCCAGGGCUCAACCCGGAAACUGCUCCGCAUACUGGCAGGCUGGAGGAAUGCAGAGGUGAGUGGAAUUCCUGGUGUAGCGGUGAAAUGCGUUGAUAUCAGGAGGAACACCCAUGGCGAAGGCAGCUCACUGGGCAUUUCCUGACGCUGAGGCGUGAAAGCGUGGGUAGCAAACAG
rnacentral:rRNA from 1 species